GCUCCCUGAUGGGAGUAUUCAUGGUUAGAGUCUCAGUCUCUAUUACGGGCCCUAGUACACUUCAGGAACUCAAAAGCUUUGCUGAUAUAAUGCAAGGUGAUAAAAAAGUAGAAAGACUUGGGAUAAUCUUGAUUUCUGAAGGCAUCAAACGGGAAUUAGAGAAAGCAGCAGGAAAAACGAAGGCCUUUUUAAGUUCCAUGAGAACUACGGUUUGCAAGACUGGUCAAAACAGUACAAUGCAAGCGGCAAGAAUCAGGAAGUGCACAGAAACAAGAAGCUCGGUGCACACUGGGAUCAGGCAAGCAUCUGGGAGAAGACUGUAGCAAGACUGGAUCCUGAGAGAUUAUUACAUCGCAAGACAAUGCAUCGCUCCAGCAAGGAUAACAAAGCGAAUGGGAAGGAAAGGGUUAUGAAGAGUUCAUGGAAGGCACCUUAGGCAGACUACUUUUAGGAAAGAGUGGAUGUGGAAGCUAAGUAUCUGGAAAUUGAUUUCCUUAGAACAGUUUGUGUUUGCAUGUCUUCUGAAAGGUUUUAUGUACUCCCAAGAGAAAGAGGCACUCUGAAUUCAAAGGCUGUUUGAAUGAACUGACUGCUUCAGCACUGUCUUGUAGAUAUAGUCCAUUCAAAUAAAAGACAAAUAUCUGACUGAAUUUUGUUAGCACGUUAAGACAUGUAUUAUAAAAAGGUUUAAGAAGAAAAUAAUGGCCACAAUUCUUCAGAAAACAUGUGAACUAAUGUGACAAAACACUGUGGUGUUGCAAACUCAAGUGCUGCUCUGGCCAAGUCACCUCGCUGAAAUCUCCACUUCCACUUGUGCAACCUACCAAGCCACUCUCUACACAGCUGCCAGAGUGAUUACAAAAACAACGCGGGAUUAUGCUACCCCUGCUUAUCUAAAAUUUGUCAAAAUGCCCGUUACACUUUGAAUAAAAUACAGAUUCCUCUCAGAUCUCA
ensembl:lncRNA LINC01681 long intergenic non-protein coding RNA 1681